rnacentral:rRNA from 1 species
AGCAGCCGCGGUAAUUCCAGCUCCAAUAGCGUAUAUUAAAGUUGUUGCAGUUAAAAAGCUCGUAGUUGAAUUUCGAGAUCAAAUUGUUGGUCGUGCCUCGGUACGUACUGGCAUUAUUGAUUUCUCCCUUCUGAAGAACCUUGAUGUCAUUAACUUGGUGUCUUGGGGAAUCAGGACCGUUACUUUGAAAAAUUAGAGUGUUUAAAGCAGGCUCACGCUUGAAUACAUUAGCAUGGAAUAAUGAAAUAGGACGUUUGAUUCUAUUUUGUUGGUUUCUAGGAUCGACGUAAUGAUUAAUAGGGAUAGUUGGGGGCAUUAGUAUUCAAUUGUCAGAGGUGAAAUUCUUGGAUUUAUUGAAGACUAACUACUGCGAAAGCAUUUGCCAAGGAUGUUUUCAUUAAUCAAGAACGAAAGUUAGGGGAUCGAAGACGAUCAGAUACCGUCGUAGUC